UACGUAGGGUGCGAGCGUUGUCCGGAAUUAUUGGGCGUAAAGAGCUCGUAGGCGGUUUGUUGCGUCGGCUGUGAAAUCCCGAGGCUCAACCUCGGGUCUGCAGUCGAUACGAGCAAACUAGAGUGUUGCAGGGGAGACUGGAAUUCCUGGUGUAGCGGUGAAAUGCGCAGAUAUCAGGAGGAACACCGGUGGCGAAGGCGGGUCUCUGGGCAACAACUGACGCUGAGGCGCGAAAGCCAGGGGAGCGAACGGG
rnacentral:rRNA from 1 species